GUGUUCUUUAUAAAUCGUGAGAGAUAUACAAACGAGAAAAACAAACAGAAAAAAACUAAAAAGGAGGUGGAGGGGAUGUGGAGGGAAGGUGAGGUGGAGGGGAUGUGGAGGGAAGGUGAGGUGGAGGGGAUGUGGAGGGAAGGUGAGGUGGAGGGGAUGUGGAGGGAAGGUGAGGUGGAGGGAAUGGGAUGUGGAGGGAAGGGAAGGUGGAGGGGAUGUGGAGGGAAGGUGAGGUGGAGGGAAUGGGAUGUGGAGGGAAGGUGAGGUGGAGGGAAUGGGAUGUGGAGGGAAGGUGAGGUGGAGGGAAUGGGAUGUGGAGGGAAGGUGAGGUGGAGGGAAUGGGAUGUGGAGGGAAGGGAAGGUGGAGGGGAUGUGGAGGGAAGGGAAGGUGGAGGGGAUGUGGAGGGAAGGUGAGGUGGAGGGAAUGGGAUGUGGAGGGAAGGGAAGGUGGAGGGGAUGUGGAGGGAAGGUGAGGUGGAGGGGAUGGGAUGUGGAGGGAAGGGAAGGUGGAGGGGAUGUGGAGGGAAGGUGAGGUGGAGGGAAUGGGAUGUGGAGGGAAGGGAAGGUGGAGGGGAUGUGGAGGGAAGGUGGAGGGAAGGGAAGGUGGAGGGGAUGUGGAGGGAAGGUGAGGUGGAGGGAAUGGGAUGUGGAGGGAAGGGAAGGUGGAGGGGAUGUGGAGGGAAGGUGGAGGGAAUGGGAUGUGGAGGGAAGGUGAGGUGGAGGAUAUGGAGGGGGAUGUGGAAGGGAUGUGGAGGGAAGGGAAGGUGGAGGGAAUGGG